UACGUAGGUGGCAAGCGUUGUCCGGAUUUACUGGGCGUAAAGAGCGCGCAGGCGGUCGUUUAAGUCGAAUGUGAAAGCCCCCGGCUCAACUGGGGAGGGUCAUUCGAUACUGAUCGACUUGAAGGCAGGAGAGAGAAGUGGAAUUCCCGGUGUAGUGGUGAAAUGCAUUGAGAUCGGAAAGAACACCAACGGCGAAAGCACUCUGCUGGGCCGACACUGACGCUGAGUGCGCGAAAGCCAGGGGAGCAAACGGG
rnacentral:rRNA from 1 species